AGUCCACUUUGAAACACGACAUUUAUUAACCACGGCAGCUUGCGGUGCACGAUGCGAUCCAAAGUUUUUACAAGAGAUCAUUCGAGUUCAGCAAAGAGUGACAACAGACCAUGUGUUUACAAAUUGCAAAGAGCAAAAGGAAUAUCAGUGUUCGGGUUUGCGGAGGAUAGCAACAAACUAGGGAGGAACAGACCGUCUCCUUCGGAAAAAGAGCUGCCAGGAAGAUGCGACGCAGAAAUACUACAAAGUUGCUUUAAGUGAAGCCGUUCCAGCGGCACAAAAUGAUUCGGAAUUGCAACAUCUUCCCUGUUGCCGUACCCUGUGGACACACCACUGAAGUUAACUUUUGGUCAGACACAAGGCAUGUAAAAUCGUGAUGUUUGGUCUAGUAAAGUUAGUAUUUGUAACCUGACUUGGCAUAGCUUAGCAUACCCUUGCCUUUUACCUGAAUCAGGUAGAUUUCCUCCACAUGCGCAUUGAACGCUAAAAUGGCGUGGAAAAGUUUGCACCACACACUCAAGCAAGAGCAGGAUAUUACUCACCAUCAAAGAGAUGAAUGAACCAAAGUCCCUUGGGCUUGCUUCAAUUCCACAAAAAAAUAUAUUGAUGAAUAUUAUCCUUUAUAGCUUAUAAGAAACUCGCGAAAGAGAUCAUCUGGACGUUGACGCGGUUUGACGGCGGAAGUAAUAGUUGACCACAGAAGUAGAAAUAUGUAUAGUUUAUCCAGUCGUAUAUUACUUAUGAGUUGCCGAGUUCAUUCUAAGGAUUUCACUCUUGUUUCAUAACUUCAGCGCAUGAAAUGCCGUCUCUUUCCCUCGGCUGGUAGCGUAGUCUGUCGGUUCGGCUGUAGUUGAUGCGCGGCGGUAGUGAGUCGCGGCUGGCUACAGCCACCUGAAAUACUGGAUUAGUGAUGUUUUCAGAGCGGGUCAAACCCCGCCUCUAGUGUACAAUAUUUACUGCAGUCCCUGACACACACACACACACACACUUGCACAAGCAGCCCCGCACGCUGUCACACGGCUAAGGGAGGAGUUAGCUGCGCAGUUCUGCUUGGCGUGUGCACUUCCCACCCUGUGUGUGUGUGUUCCCACGGCCCUCUCCUCACUGCUCCGCGAGACGAAUGUGGGAUAAGAAGAACUGUCCCGGGGAGAGGUGCUUACGGGACGCCGAGGGAGAAUUAAACCCUGUGUGUGUGUGUGCGCUUGCAGCCUCCAUGAUGUACACUUCCGAGUUGAAGUGUUCGGAGCGAUCAUUUGCUGCGUGUGUGUGAUGUUUACUUCGCGGAUGCCGACAAGGGUGAACAUGAAGGCAUGGCAACGGGGCCAGGAGAGAGCGAGGCACUAAUAAAAUGUGAUACAUGGUUAAGAUUUACAGACCGCAUCAUCAUAACUCAUCAAAACUAAACAUAUAUAAAAUUCCAUAUAUAAAUAAAAUUGGGCCAUAGGCAGCGCAUGUUGUACUGUGAAGGAGGGUCUUUACGUAUCCCGGGUACAGCGUUGUGCGGCUGUCGCCAGCCAGUUGUGCACUGCUAUUGUAUCCUGCCAACCUUACUAUGCUUGUAUACUUUAAAUUAUCAUGCACCAUGUCAGCUUACCACAAUUAAAAAUAACUCUACAAAACGAAACAUAAACUAAAUUCACAUUUAUAUUUACCAACACAUUUUUUCUCUCUCUUAUAGUGUGUCUUUACACCUGCAAAUGC
ensembl:lncRNA